rnacentral:rRNA from 1 species
AUUGAACGCUGGCGGCAGGCCUAACACAUGCAAGUCGAGCGAAGCGGGGACGGGUGAGUAACACGUGGAUAACCUCCUAUAAGACUGGGAUAACUUAGGGAAAACGGAGGUAAAACGGAUACUUAUAGAAGGAUCCGCGCGGCAUUAGCUAGUUGGUAGGGUAACGGCUUACCAAGGCAACGGUGCAUAGCCGACCUGAGAGGGUGAUCGUCCACACUGGAACUGAUACACGGGCCAGACUCCUACGGGAGGCAGCAGUAGGGAAUAUUCCGCAAUGGGCGAAAGCCUGACGGAGCAACGCCGCGUGUGUGAUGAAGGUCUUCGGAUCGUAAAACUCUGUGAUUAGGGAAGCGGUACCUAAUCAGAAAGCCACGGCUAACUCCGUGCCAGCAGCCGCGGUAAUUC